UACAAUUUGACAGUGGUUUCAGCAAUUUUUCUCAAACUUCCCCAGUAACUAUUUAAUCUCUCUCGACAUUAUUUGGUAGAGGAAUAACAUAUUGUUUGUCUCUUGAUUGGAUCAAAACACAUUUCCUGUGGAACAGGUCAGUGGGCACCGCAUAAACAUUCUUAGAUUCUGACACCUCAGAUAUAAAAGUGGAAGCAAUGUUCAGUUGACUAUCUUUGCAGAGCUGUCCAUCAGUCUUCACAAGCUCCUUUACCAAUAUACAGUGCAAUGACAAAUCGCCUGCUCUGAAUACUGACAUGCAAAGAAUUCUACAUAAUUUUCCAUCCUGUAACUCCACUGUUGAGUUGAUCCUUUUUUUAGACUUCUGUUACUGCUGGAAUGAUACAGUACGCCUUUUACAAUGAAACGGUGAUAACAAACAGUGUUCGAUUAUAACACUUAGCAAGUCUUUGAUAGCAAGUUUUUCUAAUGCUGACAGUUUGUGAUGACAGGGAUUACCAAAAACCCUGACAUUUUCAUCCAGGCUAGAUGAAUUAGAACUUCAUACAUUGCUGUUUAGGAGAUGUGAAAAAAUGCAUUUCACGCCUUCAUUAGCAUCUACCAUGUACUUUUCGGCUUUUUGUGUUAGACUCCUCCAGCAAAGAAAUCUUUUAACUAUUUGCUCUGGAACGUGUUGUCCCAUGGAAGUACUGUAACAAAGUGCCAUUAAAUGACUCGAAGGAAAAAGUUGAUGUGGCCCACAAAGGGCCCCAGUUCCUAACACUUGCCGCAAGGUGUGUCCGAAGAUGGACACACAGACUUUUUUUUAAAAUGUAAUUACUUUUUUUUUGUUUUGUUUUUUUUUGCAAGAACGUAGAGUCUGCGUCUGACAGACAAUUUUCAAUGUCAAAAUUGAAAAUUUGCCUGUGGUGGACAUUUUUCAAAUUGACCCUGAAGUGCUCGUGGCGCUGUGCUGCCGCUGAUUGGUUACCCCCGAAUGCAACCUGCUUGAAUGUAGAUGCUGAGGGAAGCGUUGUUGCAGUUGAGUUACAAUGGCGCAGUUCAAGUUCGGGAUGUUUUAUUUUAGGGACAACACAAUUCACGUCGAAAGUACUGACAUUGUGACACCUCAGUACAGACAGCAGCUCGUUCAGGUAUUAAAACGGCCGGACCUCUCCAGUGAAGAAGGAUGGAUACAAGUGUGCUGGGGCACCAGGAAAGCACCUAAAAACAAGGCGGCCGCAAAACUGCUCUUACUCGGAGACAACUACAAGGAGUUGAUGGGAAAAAAGAAGCCUUCCUCCAGGAUGAGGACAUCUGGCACAUGGCAGUUGGAAGGAUCACACCUUGUACCACAACACAUGAUGGAAGCAAACCAAAG